UGUGGCAAAUUUUGAUUGGUCA
rnacentral:siRNA from 1 species